rnacentral:rRNA from 1 species
AUACGGAGGGUGCAAGCGUUAAUCGGAAUUACUGGGCGUAAAGCGUACGUAGGCGGUUAUUUAAGUCAGAUGUGAAAGCCCCGGGCUUAACUUGGGAACUGCAUUUGAAACUGGGUAACUAGAGUUUAGUAGAGGGGAGUGGAAUUUCAGGUGUAGCGGUGAAAUGCGUAGAGAUCUGAAGGAACACCGGUGGCGAAGGCGACUCCCUGGACUAAAACUGACGCUGAGGUACGAAAGCGUGGGUAGCAAACAGGAUUAGAAACCCUAGUAGUCC